rnacentral:tRNA from 1 species
GCCGAAGUGGCGGAAUCGGUAGACGCAGCGGACUCAAAAUCCGCCGCCCUUAAAAGCGUGUGGGUUCGAGUCCCACCUUCGGUACCA